AACGAACGCUGGCGGCAUGCCUAUCAUAUGCAAGUCGAACGAAGGCUUCGGCCUUAGUGGCGCACGGGUGCGUAACGCGUGGGAAUCUGCCCCUCGGUUCGGAAUAACAGUUAGAAAUGACUGCUAAUACCGGAUGAUGACUUCGGUCCAAAGAUUUAUCGCCGAGGGAUGAGCCCGCGUAAGAUUAGGUAGUUGGUGGGGUAAAGGCCUACCAAGCCGACGAUCUUUAGCUGGUCUGAGAGGAUGAUCAGCCACACUGGGACUGAGACACGGCCCAGACUCCUACGGGAGGCAGCAGUGGGGAAUAUUGGACAAUGGGCGAAAGCCUGAUCCAGCAAUGCCGCGUGAGUGAUGAAGGCCUUAGGGUUGUAAAGCUCUUUUACCAGGGAUGAUAAUGACAGUACCUGGAGAAUAAGCUCCGGCUAACUCCGUGCCAGCCGCCGCGGUAA
rnacentral:rRNA from 1 species